rnacentral:rRNA from 1 species
UACGUAGGGGGCAAGCGUUGUCCGGAUUCAUUGGGCGUAAAGAGCGUGUAGGCGGUCAGGUAGGUCAGUUGUGAAAACUGGAGGCUCAACCUUCAGACGUCGACUGAAACCCCUUGGCUAGAGUCCGGGAGAGGAGAGUGGAAUUCCUGGUGUAGCGGUGGAAUGCGCAGAUAUCAGGAAGAACACCCGUGGCGAAAGCGGCUCUCUGGAACGGUACUGACGCUGAGACGCGAAAGCGUGGGGAAGCGAACAGGG